CGGACGGGUGAGUAACGCGUGGAGAACCUGCCGUAUACUGGGGGAUAACACUUAGAAAUAGGUGCUAAUACCGCAUAAGCGCACAGCUUCGCAUGAAGCAGUAGUGAAAAACUCCGGUGGUAUACGAUGGAUCCGCGUCUGAUUAGCUUGUUGGCGGGGUAAAGGCCCACCAAGGCGACGAUCAGUAGCCGGCCUGAGAGGGUGAACGGCCACAUUGGGACUGAGACACGGCCCAAACUCCUACGGGAGGCAGCAG
rnacentral:rRNA from 1 species